GGUGGCAGCAGAGAGCUGCAGCGCUCCUGAGUGCUGUAACAACUGCACGGAGAGAUGUGCGGGUCUUCACGGGAACAGCCAGGAACCGAAAGCUGCAUUUCCCGGGAUGCCCUGGAACCCCACUUUGCUGACUGGUAAUUGUCUGCCCAGCAGGUGGCAGCAGAGAGCUGCAGCGCUCCUGAGUGCUGUAACCACUGCACGGAGAGAUGUGCGGGUCUUCACGGGAACAGCAAGGAACCGAAAGCUGCAUUUCCCGGGAUGCCCUGGAACCCCACUUUGCUGACUGGUAAUUGUCUGCCCAGCAGGCAGGUCUUCAAUGAAGAUAUUGGACAGAACAGGCCUGAAGAGCACUCAGGAUGGCAUACCAGCUGUUUUUAACACGAUGGAGCAGCACUCAUUAGGCCAGGCGGUUCAGCUACUUCUUCAUCUAGCAAGCAAUGUACCCGUCCAAGUAGCCGGCUGCAAUCUUUGAGAGAAUUUCAAGGGAUAGCACAUCAAAGGCUUUGCCUCACUCAUGGGGUUGGGUCACUGCUUUGAGUGUGCUAGCGUGGCUGACCAUAAUCCUGUAACUGACAUCCUGUAGCUGGACAGAGACCAUUUGCACUCCAUCCAGGCUGUUUGAGACUCACGGCCAUGCUGAGAGUCACACUGAUUUCAGCGUGUGCAGUCAUUUUGCAUCAACCCGUAACCAACGCCUGAGGCCAUCGGAGCCCAUUUUUGCUUUUUCCUGGCUUGUCUGAGGCUUGCAUUUACUUCAGGUGGGCUGAGAUCUGCUCUACUGUUGAGGUGGGUUGCAGUACAAAAUAUUAGUGUAAAUGUAAUGUUAUUUAUUGGAUGUGGAGGCUUUGUGACCUUUGUCUUGUGAGUCUGACAUAUAACACAUAUGUAAACCAUACCUUAAAAUGUAUGGAGUACGUGGGUGCUGCGUCUGUAAACGGUGUCUUGGAAUUGUAUGGAAUCAGUGUACCAUGUUUUGUUUGUCAACAUGUAGGCAUUGCUGUAGUGUGCAUACAAUUGUAUGAGUCACAUCUUGAGGAAACAGUGCUGUAAUAAACAAAUACUUGUGCAAU
rnacentral:lncRNA from 7 species